rnacentral:rRNA from 1 species
GUAUAUUAAAGUUGUUGCGGUUAAAAAGCUCGUAGUUCGAGCUCAGUUCCGGACUGGCUGGGGAGGUCACCGCCCGGUGCUUCCCCGUCAGGCUCCGAACAGCUUCCGUGAGUGGAAGCCAAGCCGGUUCUGCCGGGGUGCUCUUUACCGAGUGUCCCGCGCGGCCGGCCAGUUCACCUUGAAUAAAUGAGAGUGCUCAAAGCAGGCUACUCUCGAAUACAAUGCCCGAAUGUUACCUGCAUGGAAUGAUGGAAGAUGAUCUCGGUUCCAUUUUCUUGGUGGUGGGAGCCAGAGGUAAUGAUAAAGAGGGACUGUCGGGGGCAUCCGUACUACGACGCGAGAGGUGAAAUUCAGUGACCGUCGUAGGACGAACAACAGCGAAAGCAUUUGCCAAGAAUGUCUUCGUUGAUCAAGAACGAAAGUUAGAGGAUCGAAGGCGAUCAGAUACCGCCCUAGUUCUAACCCUAAACGAUGCUGACUAGCAAUUCGCCGUCGUUAUUCCCAUGACGUGGCGAGACGCCCCCGGGAAACCUCAAGUCUUUGAGUUCCGGGGGUAGUAUGGUUGCAAAACUGAAACUUAAAGGAAUUGACGGAAGGGCACCACCAGGAGUGGAGCCUGCGGCUUAAUUUGACUCAACACGGGAAACCUCACCAGGCCCGGACACCAGAAGGAUUGACAGAUUAAGAGCUCUUUCUCGAUUU